UACGUAGGAGGCGAGCGUUGUCCGGAUUUACUGGGCGUAAAGGGCGCGUAGGCGGCCUGUUAAGUCGGACGUGAAAUCCCUCGGCUCAACCGGGGAACUGCGUCCGAUACUGGCGGGCUUGAAUUCGGGAGAGGGGGGUGGAAUACCCAGUGUAGAGGGUGGAAAUUCGUAGAUAUUGGGUGGAAACACCGGUGGCGAAAGCGGCCCC
rnacentral:rRNA from 1 species